AGUGAACGCUGGCGGUAGGCCUAACACAUGCAAGUCGAACGGCAGCACAGGAGAGCUUGCUCUCUGGGUGGCGAGUGGCGGACGGGUGAGGAAUACAUCGGAAUCUACUUUUUCGUGGGGGAGAACGUAGGGAAACUUACGCUAAUACCGCAUACGACCUACGGGUGAAAGCAGGGGACCUUCGGGCCUGGCGCGAUUGAAUGAGCCGAUGUCGGAUUAGCUAGUUGGCGGGGUAAAGGCCAACCAAGGCGACGCUCCGUAGCUGGUCUGAGAGGAUGAUCAGCCACACUGGAACUGAGACACGGUCCAGACUCCUACGGGAGGCAGCAGUGGGGAAUAUUGGACAAUGGGCGCAAGCCUGAUCCAGCCAUACCGCGUGGGUGAAGAAGGCCUUCGGGUUGUAAAGCCCUUUUGUUGGGAAAGAAAUCCAGCUGGCUAAUACCCGGUUGGGAUGACGGUACCCAAAGAAUAAGCACCGGCUAACUUCGUGCCAGCAGCCGCCGUAA
rnacentral:rRNA from 1 species